GCUGGCGGCGUGCCUAAUACAUGCAAGUCGAACGAACUCUGGUAUUGAUUGGUGCUUGCAUCAUGAUUUACAUUUGAGUGAGUGGCGAACUGGUGAGUAACACGUGGGAAACCUGCCCAGAAGCGGGGGAUAACACCUGGAAACAGAUGCUAAUACCGCAUAACAACUUGGACCGCAUGGUCCGAGCUUGAAAGAUGGCUUCGGCUAUCACUUUUGGAUGGUCCCGCGGCGUAUUAGCUAGAUGGUGGGGUAACGGCUCACCAUGGCAAUGAUACGUAGCCGACCUGAGAGGGUAAUCGGCCACAUUGGGACUGAGACACGGCCCAAACUCCUACGGGAGGCAGCAGUAGGGAAUCUUCCACAAUGGACGAAAGUCUGAUGGAGCAACGCCGCGUGAGUGAAGAAGGGUUUCGGCUCGUAAAACUCUGUUGUUAAAGAAGAACAUAUCUGAGAGUAACUGUUCAGGUAUUGACGGUAUUUAACCAGAAAGCCACGGCUAACUACGUGCCAGCAGCCGCGGUAAUACGUAGGUGGCAAGCGUUGUCCGGAUUUAUUGGGCGUAAAGCGAGCGCAGGCGGUUUUUUAAGUCUGAUGUGAAAGCCUUCGGCUCAACCGAAGAAGUGCAUCGGAAACUGGGAAACUUGAGUGCAGAAGAGGACAGUGGAACUCCAUGUGUAGCGGUGAAAUGCGUAGAUAUAUGGAAGAACACCAGUGGCGAAGGCGGCUGUCUGGUCUGUAACUGACGCUGAGGCUCGAAAGUAUGGGUAGCAAACAGGAUUAGAUACCCUGGUAGUCCAUACCGUAAACGAUGAAUGCUAAGUGUUGGAGGGUUUCCGCCCUUCAGUGCUGCAGCUAACGCAUUAAGCAUUCCGCCUGGGGAGUACGGCCGCAAGGCUGAAACUCAAAGGAAUUGACGGGGGCCCGCACAAGCGGUGGAGCAUGUGGUUUAAUUCGAAGCUACGCGAAGAACCUUACCAGGUCUUGACAUACUAUGCAAAUCUAAGAGAUUAGACGUUCCCUUCGGGGACAUGGAUACAGGUGGUGCAUGGUUGUCGUCAGCUCGUGUCGUGAGAUGUUGGGUUAAGUCCCGCAACGAGCGCAACCCUUAUUAUCAGUUGCCAGCAUUAAGUUGGGCACUCUGGUGAGACUGCCGGUGACAAACCGGAGGAAGGUGGGGAUGACGUCAAAUCAUCAUGCCCCUUAUGACCUGGGCUACACACGUGCUACAAUGGAUGGUACAACGAGUUGCGAACUCGCGAGAGUAAGCUAAUCUCUUAAAGCCAUUCUCAGUUCGGAUUGUAGGCUGCAACUCGCCUACAUGAAGUCGGAAUCGCUAGUAAUCGCGGAUCAGCAUGCCGCGGUGAAUACGUUCCCGGGCCUUGUACACACCGCCCGUCACACCAUGAGAGUUUGUAACACCCAAAGUCGGUGGGGUAACCUUUUAGGAACCAGCCGCCUAAGGUGGGACAGAUGAUU
rnacentral:rRNA from 2 species